AUGAGUAUAACCCUAAUUUUGAGGAGAGUUGUCCCAUCCUCCUCCUCGCCGCCGCCAUUCCAAAUCCUCUCGGGAUCCUCGCCCGAUCCACUUUGUUUUUCCCCAUCCUCCCAAAUGGCAGCCCCACCUCCAUCUAUCCCAACACCACCAAGCCGCCUCAGCGGGCCUCGUUGGAGCUCCACCGGCUACCACCAGCAGCAGCAAGCAAAGUCACCGCAGCUCCUUCCUCUUCCUCCUCCCCCCGAGCUCGACCUCGAGCACAACGCCACCCCUACCCAGCACCGGCGACCAACCAGGAACUCCCCUGCCGUCUCUGUUUUCUAUCCUGCAUACUCCUUCUCCUCGUGCCCGCAUCCCACCGAGCUCCUCUGUGCGCGCACUAGCGCCCGAGCUCUCUGCUUCUCGUCAAUCCAACCACCGCCGGAGGCGUCACCGGCAACUAGAGGCCUCCUCGUCACCCCCGAGCGGGAGAGCUUCUCCACCCAAGCAGCAGCAGUCCUGAGCCCUAGUUGCAACCAUCUCGACCGGCGCUGUCUUCCCCGUCAACCAACUCGAACAUGGGCCUCGUCGAACCUCGUCGUCCCCGAGCUCUUUUUCGGCAGGAUCCGCCACAACGCCGUGGGUUCCCCGGUGCCCCGGACCUUCCCUGCUUCACCAAAUUCGUCGCUGCUUGAGCUCGAGCACGCACCCAAGAACCAUGGAGCCCCUCCCGUGCGCGCCUCCACUCGUCCUCCGCGCCCACAGCAGCUCGAGGGGAGGAUCCCCUCGAUCCCGUGCUCUUCGUUGACCGCAGCUCCGGAUCAGCUCGACCUCACCUUUCCUGCACCUCCACAGCCCGGAUUCGCGCCGCUCCGCCGACCCUUCUCCGGCCCCUGCCCGCCGGAGCCGCGUCUGCUCGUGCCCCGCAGCCGCGCUGCGCCUCUGCUUCGUUCAAGCAGAGACGAAGUGAGCGUCUCGCCCGCGUCUCACCUUCGUUGA
rnacentral:rRNA from 1 species